UACGUAGGGUGCAAGCGUUAAUCGGAAUUACUGGGCGUAAAGCGUGCGCAGGCGGUGAUGUAAGACAGAUGUGAAAUCCCCCGGCUUAACCUGGGAACUGCGUCUGAUACUGGAAGGCUUGAGUAUGGGAGAGGGAUGUAGAAUUCCAGGUGUAGCGGUGAAAUGCGUAGAUAUCUGGAGGAAUACCGGUGGCGAAGGCGGCAUCCUGGACCAUUACUGACGCUGAGGCGCGAAAGCUAGGGGAGCAAACGGG
rnacentral:rRNA from 1 species